GAUGAACGCUAGCGGGAGGCUUAACACAUGCAAGUCGAGGGGCAGCAUAGGGUAGCAAUACUCUGAUGGCGACCGGCAAACGGGUGAGUAACGCGUAUGCAACCUACCCUGUACAGGGGGAUAACCCGGAGAAAUUUGGACUAAUAUCCCGUAAUAAUAUCCGGAGGCAUCUUUGGAUAUUUAAAGUUUCGACGGUACGGGAUGGGCAUGCGUAACAUUAGCUGGUUGGUAAGGUAACGGCUUACCAAGGCUAUGAUGUUUAGGGGUCCUGAGAGGGUGGUCCCCCACACUGGUACUGAGACACGGACCAGACUCCUACGGGAGGCAGCAGUGAGGAAUAUUGGUCAAUGGGCGCAAGCCUGAACCAGCCAUCCCGCGUGCAGGAAGACGGCCCUAUGGGUUGUAAACUGCUUUUCCAGGGAGAGAAACUUACGCACGUGUUGCGUGACUGACGGUACCCUGGGAAUAAGCAUCGGCUAACUCCGUG
rnacentral:rRNA from 1 species